CAUGCAGUCGAGCGGAACGAGUUAUCUGAACCUUCGGGGAACGAUAACGGCGUCGAGCGGCGGACGGGUGAGUAAUGCCUAGGAAAUUGCCCUGAUGUGGGGGAUAACCAUUGGAAACGAUGGCUAAUACCGCAUGAUGCCUACGGGCCAAAGAGGGGGACCUUCGGGCCUCUCGCGUCAGGAUAUGCCUAGGUGGGAUUAGCUAGUUGGUGAGGUAAGGGCUCACCAAGGCGACGAUCCCUAGCUGGUCUGAGAGGAUGAUCAGCCACACUGGAACUGAGACACGGUCCAGACUCCUACGGGAGGCAGCAGUGGGGAAUAUUGCACAAUGGGCGCAAGCCUGAUGCAGCCAUGCCGCGUGUGUGAAGAAGGCCUUCGGGUUGUAAAGCACUUUCAGUCGUGAGGAAGGUAGUGUAGUUAAUAGCUGCAUUAUUUGACGUUAGCGACAGAAGAAGCACCGGCUAACUCCGUGCCAGCAGCCGCGGUAAUACGGAGGGUGCGAGCGUUAAUCGGAAUUACUGGGCGUAAAGCGCAUGCAGGUGGUUUGUUAAGUCAGAUGUGAAAGCCCGGGGCUCAACCUCGGAAUAGCAUUUGAAACUGGCAGACUAGAGUACUGUAGAGGGGGGUAGAAUUUCAGGUGUAGCGGUGAAAUGCGUAGAGAUCUGAAGGAAUACCGGUGGCGAAGGCGGCCCCCUGGACAGAUACUGACACUCAGAUGCGAAAGCGUGGGAGCAAACAGGAUUAGAUACCCUGGUAGUCCACGCCGUAAACGAUGUCUACUUGGAGGUUGUGGCCUUGAGCCGUGGCUUUCGGAGCUAACGCGUUAAGUAGACCGCCUGGGGAGUACGGUCGCAAGAUUAAAACUCAAAUGAAUUGACGGGGGCCCGCACAAGCGGUGGAGCAUGUGGUUUAAUUCGAUGCAACGCGAAGAACCUUACCUACUCUUGACAUCCAGAGAACUUUCCAGAGAUGGAUUGGUGCCUUCGGGAACUCUGAGACAGGUGCUGCAUGGCUGUCGUCAGCUCGUGUUGUGAAAUGUUGGGUUAAGUCCCGCAACGAGCGCAACCCUUAUCCUUGUUUGCCAGCGAGUAAUGUCGGGAACUCCAGGGAGACUGCCGGUGAUAAACCGGAGGAAGGUGG
rnacentral:rRNA from 4 species